UACGUAGGGACCAAGCGUUAUCCGGAUUUAUUGGGCGUAAAGCGUCAGCAGGUGGUUGAUCAAGUCUGCUGUCAAAGCGCGAAGCUUAACUUCGUAAGGGCAGUGAAAACUGAUGAACUUGAGGGUGAUAGGGGCAGAGGGAAUUCCUAGUGUAGCGGUGAAAUGCGUAGAGAUUAGGAAGAACACCGGUGGCGAAAGCGCUCUGCUGGGUCACACCUGACACUGAGGGACGAAAGCUAGGGGAGCGAAAGGG
rnacentral:rRNA from 1 species